GCUCCCGCCCGCGCAGCGCGAGCGCUGAGGCGGCGGCGGCAGCAGCGCGCGGAGCGACCGUUACCCCAGCGCGGCCUGGGCUCCCCCGGGGCGUCGGUGAAGCCUUGCUUCCAGCGGCGAAACGCCCUGCCGAGGAAAGGUUUGCCUAAAGGGGAAAAAAACAUUGCUGAAGGCUGAAAGACACUGCUGAAAUGUGCUACUUCCAUGAAAAUCUUGAGGCAAUUUGGAAUUCUGGCUCUGUCAAAUUAAGAAAAAGCCUGAAUACAGAAUUAUCGCAUUACCUGAAUACGGAGGACAGCAAGGGCAAAGGAACUGAGGAGUUUUACAACAUGGAUUGGAAGCAAAGAAACAGCAGAGGGGACUGAAAAAGAGAACCUUCAUUAGAAAGUUCUUCAUCAAUGAAGGAAAUUAAAUACUAGCAGUAUUAAUGUAAGACUUGAUUCUGCUGCACCUGGAAUUAAUGGAAAUUUUCACAUAAUUCUAGUGAGAACAAUAUUGGAGCUUUAUGCAUAUCUUUGAAGAUGAUUUAAACUAGAAGCCAGCAGCUGCAGAGCAGUACCUGGGUCAGAUAAGGACUAUACAAGUGCAACACAACUAUGUAGGUAUCAGCAUGGCAUUAAAGAGUAAUUACACUUGUAUUGGGAAACAGCAGGAGAAGCAGUUCAGUGUAGUAACAGUUCUAGCCAAGACUAAAGUGCAAGGUACAUAACUAUAGUCCAACCCUUACAAAUCAUAACCACAAAUUGCAGAUAUAAGACAGAAGACUGGAAACAAAAAUGAGGCAAUAGAAUGCCUGAUGUUAAGACACCACUGAAAUGUAAAUAGCACUGCUGAAUUAUAGUGAGUUAGAAUUAUAUUGGAUUAAUUCCCAGCUCUAAACUCCAGAGGAAAGGUGACUCAGAGGACUUAAAGCCAGCAAAAAACAAUACAUAUAGAAGAUCCUGCAUGCUAUGAAUUUUAGAUACCAAGUGCCAAGAGAAGGAUCUACACAGAUUCUAGAAAGCAGUUUGUACCACAAUUAGUACCUGAAUGGCCCUUCCACAAUACAAGUCAGGUUACCCAAAUUCCAUAAAGUUAUCCUAUGUUGCUUCUGCAGAGUUUGAGUGAUGCCCCCAAGACUAAUCCUUAUGAACAAACUCUUUUAUGUAGCUUUGUUCACAUGCACAGCAGCAAUAUGAUUGGGAGUGCCAUUUCAACCUCUUGUGCUUACUUGAUAUAAUAAUAUGUUUAAAUCUCUGAAUUUACCUUUAGUGGAUAAACGUUUGAGUCACACUCCAUGGUCUAUGUCACUCAAAUGCUAGGCCAAAGUAAGUAUGCGGGACAUUAUUAAUAGUUUUGGAAGGUGUAAUUAUCCAAAUAAUUGUUUCCUUUUUCAAAGUUCUUUCUCCUUUCCUCUUCCCAUAUACAGCAUAUGUAUUUUUUCCUUAGUUCAGAAAAUUAAAAGCUGCACAAUUGAAAAAUAAAAUUAGAUAAUGGCAUUUUAUGUUAGCUAGU
rnacentral:lncRNA from 1 species